GAUGAACGCUGGCGGCGUGCCUAAUACAUGCAAGUCGAGCGAACAGACGAGGAGCUUGCUCCUCUGACGUUAGCGGCGGACGGGUGAGUAACACGUGGAUAACCUACCUAUAAGACUGGGAUAACUUCGGGAAACCGGAGCUAAUACCGGAUAACAUGUUGAACCGCAUGGUUCAACAGUGAAAGACGGUUUUGCUGUCACUUAUAGAUGGAUCCGCGCCGCAUUAGCUAGUUGGUAAGGUAACGGCUUACCAAGGCAACGAUGCGUAGCCGACCUGAGAGGGUGAUCGGCCACACUGGAACUGAGACACGGUCCAGACUCCUACGGGAGGCAGCAGUAGGGAAUCUUCCGCAAUGGGGGAAAGCCUAACGGAGCAACGCCGCGUGAGUGAAGAAGGUCUUCGGAUCGUAAAACUCUGUUAUUAGGGAAGAACAAAUGUGUAAGUAACUAUGCACGUCUUGACGGUACCUAAUCAGAAAGCCACGGCUAACUACGUG
rnacentral:rRNA from 1 species